rnacentral:lncRNA from 1 species
CGAUGGGAACACUCCUCCCCCAGGCAGAAAGAUGGUCUGAGUCAGCAUUCGGGGUUCAGAAGUAGCUACUUCGGGGACCUUCCCUUUCCAGUCUGCACAGGCAAAGCGCAAAGGAAAACCACCACCCUAGAACUCCGUAUCCGGACAACACUGUAGUUCAAAAAAUAAAGAGGACAUAAUAUUUUAGAUGCA